CCUCGGAACCCCCGGCCCGGGCGGUCGGCGCGCGCGGAGGACAGACGGCCCGGGCGGCGGGCGCGGCAGCGGCUUCUCCCGGCUCCCCGUCCCGCGCACCUCAAGGGGCGCGGGGCUCUGGACGCGGGGGCGGAGGGGGCUCUGCGCGGGGCUGGGCUGGGCUGGCCGACUCCGGCGCCGGGGACCACGCGCGACUGGUUAGAUCUUGUCCUGAUCUCUGGAAAACUGUGACUAUCUCACAUGUCCUGCCCUGUUCGGAUCCCCUGCGCUAACGAGCCAGGCCCCCCUUGAUUGCUGAUUUUACGCUUUUUGGACCAAUUGUGGGUCUCCGGGGGCGGGGUUUUGACAGCUCAGGCCAAGCUCUGGACGGGAGGGGGGGCCAGGGAGAAGGUGUCGGAAGCCUCAGCAGUAAGAAAACAUGUCAACAGAAUAAAAUAUUAACCAAUGACGGGCCGGCGGGCCCCGAGACCCCUCCCCCUGGCCUGGCCCCCACCUCGUCGUCCGCGCCGGCCGCUGCCUGGGCGAGGGCUGGAAAGCGCAGAGGGCCGAUCUGACCCGCCGAAAGGGCCUGAGGCAGGGGGCGCCCGGAUCCCAGGGCCUUGGGGAAGGACCCCUAGCCGCAUGCCGGCCCCAAGUGCAAAGCAUUGACACGUUCGGGAGAGGAGAGGGGGCGCCCUUUCCCUCCCGCGCCGGGAGUCCCGGCCGCUUUGGCCUGCGCCCCAGCCUGGCCUCCCACCCCAGCUCCCGGGCACCGCCCCGGGUCCAUGCACUUCGGAGGGAGGCUGCGGGCACUGGAAAGCGAGGCCGGUGGGCGGGCAAGUCAGGAGGCUCGGGCGACCGAGGUCCCGGAGCCGAAAUCAGGUGGCCGGAGCCGGUAUAAAUUCCCUGGCAUCACCGAACUGCUGAUCACAGCCUGCCACCCUGUCUGGCCUCACUGGUGUUUCCUGUUUGAAUGAGGAGCUUGCUAUGGACAGCUUUUGGCCACUGGGCCCCAACCUGCCUGCUUAUCUGCCUGAGCUUUCCGAGGUAAAGGAGCUUCUCUUCCAUCCACCCUGGCCACAAAGAUGUUCUGGGAGCAACCAUGGACUGAACCCUCUGAAAUCACGAGCCAAAAUAAACCUCUCUUUCCAUUGUUCUCCAGCAAUCAGAAAUCUAA
rnacentral:sRNA from 1 species